rnacentral:lncRNA from 1 species
UGGUAGGUACAUUUGGUUUCCGUUUUAAAAUAUCAUAUGUUAUAGUGUGAUCCUCAUACAAUGUUUUCAAUCCAAGGACCAAUGAUACAAACAAUAAAUACAGAAAAGGGAACUGCACAACCACAAAAUAUGGAUGUGCCUAGAAAAAUCGCUACAUGUGAUUAUGCAGCGCAAAAAAAUCUAAAGUCAGUCUACACUUCCAUCCCCCGGUAAAGUGAAACAACUUGUACAUUCAACACCAACAAAUCUAAUACAGAAAACCAGUAAGUUAAUUUAGACGAAUAAAUUGCACAUUUCUUGGCCUAAAAACUUUAUGGAAACUUACGAUGCAAAUUAGAAGAAAAAAAGAACGAGAAUGAC